UGUGACCGAGUAGCUGGUGCCUGUGUUGAUUGUCCAGUACUCGGAUGCUUGUAGGGUCAUCUGGCAUUACUUUUCAAUGAACUUGCAUUGAGCUUUUUGUCACAAGCACCUUUUACAAAUAAAAUGGUGUCAGUUCUUUCUUUUGUUUUUUGUGGAUUCAGCUCAUAUUUCUCUAAGCAGGGCUCAUUCUGUUGAAUAUCAUGUCCUGGCUUGUAUGUUUUUAUAAGCAUCCACAGUUACUUUUAGAUUUUUCUGCCAAGCCAUGCAUGUUCAAUAGCUAUACCGAUAAAAUCUUUCCUUCAUUUGGUUUCUUUGCAUAUUCUGGUGCCACUCAAGUUAUUGCAUAAAUUACAGUAAUCGAUAAUAUCCUUCGGUUGACUUUCGAUCAUAAAUAACAGUAGUGUUGUUUUCUAAUUUGAGGCAGCCUGCCUGAGCGUUGCUUGAUCGUGCAAACAUGCAGGAGAGGAUUAACUUGGAGCGUGCUGGGAGAGAACAACUUGAGGAGAGGUUACAAGAAAAGCAUGUUGAAAGGGAAAGAAUGUUGGAAGAGAAGCGAAGAUCAAGAAUGGAAUUUAAAAAAAAACAUGAUGGCAAAGUUCAGCCAACUGAUGGCUAAAUUAAGCCAAAAAAUGGGAAACCAAUAGGUGCUUAAGAAGAGGAAUGACAAAGAAAAUAGUAAUCCAAAUUUGCAAACUACUCUACAGAGCUCUAGUCCUAGUAGGAAUCUAGGAGCAAAGUCAAAUGUGAUUUCUUCAACUUCACUCUUACAAGUUGCAACACUGAAUUCUAGAUUUUACAAAGCAAUGGAACCAAAGAAAUAGCUGGAGAGGGUACAAGUAAUGGGAAUACACACCUAAAGUACAGAUUUCAAGAAUCACGAUGGUGAUGUACUAUACAUCAUGGACAAUUUAGUCUUACACUUAAUUAGGAUGGCUACAUUUUACUUGAGUUUCAUUUGAUGAAUAU